GAUGAACGCUAGCGGCAGGCCUAAUACAUGCAAGUCGGACGGGAUUCAGGAGCUUGCUUCUGAUGAGAGUGGCGCACGGGUGCGUAACACGUAUGUAACCUACCUUUAUCAGAGGGAUAGCCUCUCGAAAGAGAGAUUAAGCCCGCAUAAAAUCACAGCACAGCAUUGUGUAAUGAUCAAAUAUUUAUAGGAUAAAGAUGGGCAUGCGGAACAUUAGCUAGAUGGCGGGGUAACGGCCCACCAUGGCGACGAUGUUUAGGGGAUCUGAGAGGAUGGCCCCCCAAACUGGUACUGAGACACGGACCAGACUCCUACGGGAGGCAGCAGUAAGGAAGAUUGGUCAAUGGGCGGAAGCCUGAACCAGCCAUGCCGCGUGCAGGAAGACGGCCCUACGGGUUGUAAACUGCUUUUAUACGGGAAUAAACCCAGAUACGUGUAUCUGGCUGAAUGUACUGUAAGAAUAAGAAUCGGCUAACUCCGUG
rnacentral:rRNA from 1 species